UACGUAGGGUGCAAGCGUUAAUCGGAAUCACUGGGCGUAAAGGGUGCGUAGGCGGGUCUUUUAAGUCAGGGGUGAAAUCCUGGAGCUCAACUCCAGAACUGCCUUUGAUACUGAGGAUCUUGAGUUCGGGAGAGGUGAGUGGAACUGCGAGUGUAGAGGUGAAAUUCGUAGAUAUUCGCAAGAACACCAGUGGCGAAGGCGGCUCACUGGCCCGAUACUGACGCUGAGGCACGAAAGCGUGGGGAGCAAACAGGAUUAGAAACCCCCGGGU
rnacentral:rRNA from 1 species